rnacentral:rRNA from 1 species
UGGUAAUGCCGGAUGCUCCAUCAUACCGCAUGGUGUUCUGGGAAAGCCUUUGCGGCAUGGGAUGGGGUCGCGUCCUAUCAGCUUGAUGGCGGGGUAACGGCCCACCAUGGCUUCGACGGGUAGCCGGCCUGAGAGGGCGACCGGCCACAUUGGGACUGAGAUACGGCCCAGACUCCUACGGGAGGCAGCAGUGGGGAAUAUUGCACAAUGGGCGCAAGCCUGAUGCAGCGACGCCGCGUGAGGGAUGGAGGCCUUCGGGUUGUAAACCUCUUUUGUUAGGGAGCAAGGCAUUUUGUGUUGAGUGUACCUUUCGAAUAAGCACCGGCUAACUACGUGCCAGCAGCCGCGGUAAUACGUAGGGUGCAAGCGUUAUCCGGAAUUAUUGGGCGUAAAGGGCUCGUAGGCGGUUCGUCGCGUCCGGUGUGAAAGUCCAUCGCUUAACGGUGGAUCCGCGCCGGGUACGGGCGGGCUUGAGUGCGGUAGGGGAGACUGGAAUUCCCGGUGUAACGGUGGAAUGUGUAGAUAUCGG